rnacentral:rRNA from 1 species
GACGAACGCUGGCGGCGUGCUUAACACAUGCAAGUCGAACGGAAAGGCCCCUUUGGGGGUCCUCGAGUGGCGCACGGGUGAGUAACACGUGAGUAACCUGCCCUUGACUUCGGGAUAACUUCAGGAAACUGGGGCUAAUACCGGAUAGGAAUCCUUGCUGCAUGGUGGGGGUUGGAAAGCUUCGGCGGUUUUGGAUGGACUCGCGGCUUAUCAGCUUGUUGGUGGGGUAGUGGCUUACCAAGGCUUUGACGGGUAGCCGGCCUGAGAGGGCGACCGGCCACAUUGGGACUGAGAUACGGCCCAGACUCCUACGGGAGGCAGCAGUGGGGAAUAUUGCACAAUGGGCGGAAGCCUGAUGCAGCAACGCCGCGUGCGGGAUGACGGCCUUCGAGUUGUAAACCGCUUUCAGCAGGGGCGAAGCUUGUGGUGACGGUACCUGCAGAAGAAGCACCGGCUAACUACGUG